AAUUUUGCAUACCACUGUUGCAUAUUACGAGCAACGGAUACUCGCAAGAAAAUUUGUUUCUCGAAAUAUUCCGAGAUUUCACACGAAAUUCGUUAGAAUUUUUUAUAUCUUUCAGUCUUCGUGGAAAUGGACUAUAAGCGGCGGAAAAUAUAUAAAAAAGCAGACGGUCAGCAGAGACGAGAUUACUCAUCGUGUUCACGAUUUUCACGGGUGUUUAUCACGAUUUUAGUCGGGGAAGCAGAUCGGCCUUGGGUCCUGGCAACGCUCCUAUGUACGCAGGAGCUUCGCAGAGAACACUGCUUCCAAAAGCUCGACGUAUAUAUAGCGAUGCUGAAACUACAAACAAAUGAAUAGAGCAGAGGAAAUGUAUAAAUCCAUCGCUUCGAUGAAAUACUUUUUGAUGCAGAAUGAGAUAUUGUUAAUUAAAACUCCUCGGAACGGCGCAAAUAAAUUUGGUUUUUUCAUAAACGAACGCACGAUCGAAUAGAGGGAACGAUAUUAAACACACACUUGUACAAGACGCUCCAUAUUUUAUACUUUCUACCGUUUUUUCGGUAGAAUUUAAAAAUGAUUGACUUGGAACGAAAUGCACGCAUGAUUUAUGCCUACUUCAAGUAUUGCAGAAAAUGAAAUAUUAUAAUAAAAUCGCAAGAAAUUGUAAAAAAAUGAAUAUAGUAGUAAAA